rnacentral:rRNA from 1 species
UACGUAGGGGGCAAGCGUUGUCCGGAAUCAUUGGGCGUAAAGCGCGUGUAGGCGGUUCGGUAAGUCUGCUGUGAAAGUCCAGGGCUCAACCCUGGGAUGCCGGUGGAUACUGUCGGACUAGAGUACGGAAGAGGCGAGUGGAAUUCCCGGUGUAGCGGUGAAAUGCGCAGAUAUCAGGAAGAACACCAAUGGCGAAAGCAGCUCUCUGGGACGGUACUGACGCUGAGACGCGAAAGCGUGGGGAGCGAACAGG